rnacentral:rRNA from 1 species
CCUUUAGAGUUUUGGAACCUGGCUCAGAUUGAACGCUGGCGGCAGGCCUAACACAUGCAAGUCGAGCGGAAACGAGUUAUCUGAACCUUCGGGGAACGAUAACGGCGUCGAGCGGCGGACGGGUGAGUAAUGCCUAGGAAAUUGCCUUGAUGUGGGGGAUAACCAUUGGAAACGAUGGCUAAUACCGCAUAACGCCUACGGGCCAAAGAGGGGGACCUUCGGGCCUCUCGCGUCAAGAUAUGCCUAGGUGGGAUUAGCUAGUUGGUGAGGUAAUGGCUCACCAAGGCGACGAUCCCUAGCUGGUCUGAGAGGAUGAUCAGCCACACUGGAACUGAGACACGGUCCAGACUCCUACGGGAGGCAGCAGUGGGGAAUAUUGCACAAUGGGCGCAAGCCUGAUGCAGCCAUGCCGCGUGUAUGAAGAAGGCCUUCGGGUUGUAAAGUACUUUCAGCAGUGAGGAAGGGGGUGUCGUUAAUAGCGGCAUCUCUGACUA